CGGCGGAGCAUGCGGAUUAAUUCGAUGCAACGCGAAGAACCUUACCAAGGCUUGACAUAUACCGGAAAAGUGCAGAAAUGAUCCUCGGAACAGGUGUGACGAGCGCAACCCUCGUUCUAUGUUGCCAGCGGGAUGUCAAAUAUCAUGCCCCUUAUGUCUUGGCUUCAUACAUGGCCGGUACAAGGGCUGCAAUACCGUAAGGUGGAGCGUCCCAAAAAGCCGGUCUCAGUUCGGAUUGAGGUGCAACUCGACCUCAUGAAGUCGGAGUCGCUAGUAAUCGAGAUCAGCAACGCUGCGGUGAAUACGUUCCCGGGCCUUGUACACACCGCCGUCAAGUCAUGAAAGUCGGUAACACCCGAAGCCAGUGGCCUAACCGUAAGGGAGGAGCUGUCGAAGUGGGAUCGGUGAUUAGGACUAAGUCGUACAAGGU
rnacentral:rRNA from 1 species